AACGAACGCUGGCGGCGCGCCUAAUACACGCAAGUCGAGCGAGAAGACGUAGCAAUACGUUUGUAAAGCGGCGAACGGGUGAGGAAUACAUGGGUAACCUACCCUCGAGUGGGGAAUAACUAGCCGAAAGGUUAGCUAAUACCGCGUACGCUCCUUGGACUUCGGUUCAGGGAGGAAAGCGAUACCGUGGGUAUCGCGCUCUUGGAUGGGCUCAUGUCCUAUCAGCUUGUUGGUGAGGAACGGCUCACCAAGGCUUCGACGGGUAGCUGGUCUGAGAGGACGAUCAGCCACACUGGCACUGCGACACGGGCCAGACUCCUACGGGAGGCAGCAGUAAGGAAUAUUGCGCAAUGGGCGAAAGCCUGACGCAGCGACG
rnacentral:rRNA from 1 species